GCAACAGGGAAAGAAGAAAGAUGUGGAUUAGUUUUAGAGCAUUUUAAAAUGCUUUCAUAACAAGGAGACAGUUACAAAGGCUGAAAGGUAGAAAUGACCACAGUUGCAGCAUUUAUCCCUGAAAAAAACAGAAGAGUUCUUCACAAGCUUCACGGUAGAAACAUUUGUCCCACAUUGCUCACCGUGAAACCAAAAAUCAAUACAGAUGUUGGUAAUCUUAUCUCUGGGAUGACAGAUGUGAAUCAAAAUGCGGCACCGUGACAAAGUGGAACAUCGGGUCACCCAACCCAGGGCUGCAUUCUUUAUUAUAACAAAGUCGUUGUUUUCUGUAUGAAAAUAUACCAGCAACACGUCUGCAUUUUAUAUCUGGAAGUUCAAGACAAACUGGUUCUACAAAGUACAUUUUAUUCUUCUCUAUUAUACAUAGUGAAACAUAACUUAAACCCGAUAUGAUUGGCUGCUAUGCAAAACAGAGAAGGUAUAAAUAAGCAGGAAAAGCCUGAAAGAGACAAACACUGUGGAGCUACCUCAAGCACUGGGAAACUACUGAUACAGCUAUUAGUCUGUUUUUCUUCACCACAAAUUACUUUGAAACAUAAACAGUAAAAGAUGGCCGAACAGAUGCCUAAAAGAUUCAAGCUUACUGGAAAAUCAGCACAGUCCAAAAAAAAGGAACGGAAAAACCAAAUGAAAAAUGACCCAGAGAUGCUGUUUGUCACUCUCAGUGAAGGAGAAGAAGACAAAUACAUGUUUUACACCGAGUCUGUAGACGAAUGGCGCAACACUCUACAAGAAGCCUUCUCCGAUCCAACUGAUGUUUGCUAUACAUGGAAAACAGAAGCAGGCACCAUUAUGUUAUAUCCUACAACUGGAUUAUGUGUGAUACAAGGCAAAAAAACAAAAAGGGACAAAUUUUUGAGCUGGUUUAAAAAAAUGGUUGGUCAGAAUAAGGGUGAAACUGACAGACCAUGACAACGGCAGUGCUAAGUACCGUAUACAGUUUCUAGUCAUUCUUCUUCUUCUAAUGACUUUUGAUGUAAUAUUCUACUGAUAAAUCAACCCUUUAAUAUUUUUGUCUCAACUUUUCCCUGCCCCCCAACCAUAUGCUGGAGGUUAUGUUAGGAUUGCGGGGUGUUUU